GGGUUGUGAGGUUAAGCGACUAAGCGUACACGGUGGAUGCCCUGGCAGUCAGAGGCGAUGAAGGACGUGCUAAUCUGCGAUAAGCGUCGGUAAGGUGAUAUGAACCGUUAUAACCGGCGAUUUCCGAAUGGGGAAACCCAGUGUGAUUCGUCACACUAUCAUUACGUGAAUACAUAGCGUAAUGAAGCGAACCGGGGGAACUGAAACAUCUAAGUACCCCGAGGAAAAGAAAUCAACCGAGAUUCCCCCAGUAGCGGCGAGCGAACGGGGAGCAGCCCAGAGUCUGAAUCAGCUUGUGUGUUAGUGGAACGGUCUGGAAAGUCCGACGGUACAGGGUGAUAGUCCCGUACACCAAAAUGCACAGGUUGUGAACUCGAAGAGUAGGGCGGGACACGUGGUAUCCUGUCUGAAUAUGGGGGGACCAUCCUCCAAGGCUAAAUACUCCUGACUGACCGAUAGUGAACCAGUACCGUGAGGGAAAGGCGAAAAGAACCCCGGCGAGGGGAGUGAAAAAGAACCUGAAACCGUGUACGUACAAGCAGUGGGAGCAUCCUUUUGGGUGUGACUGCGUACCUUUUGUAUAAUGGGUCAGCGACUUAUAUUCUGUAGCAAGGUUAACCGUAUAGGGGAGCCGAAGGGAAACCGAGUCUUAACUGGGCGUUAAGUUGCAGGGUAUAGACCCGAAACCCGGUGAUCUAGCCAUGGGCAGGUUGAAGGUUGGGUAACACUAACUGGAGGACCGAACCGACUAAUGUUGAAAAAUUAGCGGAUGACUUGUGGCUGGGGGUGAAAGGCCAAUCAAACCGGGAGAUAGCUGGUUCUCCCCGAAAGCUAUUUAGGUAGCGCCUCGUGAACUCAUCUUCGGGGGUAGAGCACUGUUUCGGCUAGGGGGUCAUCCCGACUUACCAACCCGAUGCAAACUGCGAAUACCGAAGAAUGUUAUCACGGGAGACACACGGCGGGUGCUAACGUCCGUCGUGAAGAGGGAAACAACCCAGACCGCCAGCUAAGGUCCCAAAGUCAUGGUUAAGUGGGAAACGAUGUGGGAAGGCACAGACAGCCAGGAUGUUGGCUUAGAAGCAGCCAUCAUUUAAAGAAAGCGUAAUAGCUCACUGGUCGAGUCGGCCUGCGCGGAAGAUGUAACGGGGCUAAACCAUGCACCGAAGCUGCGGCAGCGACACUAUGUGUUGUUGGGUAGGGGAGCGUUCUGUAAGCCGUUGAAGGUGUGCUGUGAGGCAUGCUGGAGGUAUCAGAAGUGCGAAUGCUGACAUAAGUAACGAUAAUGCGGGUGAAAAACCCGCACGCCGGAAGACCAAGGGUUCCUGUCCAACGUUAAUCGGGGCAGGGUGAGUCGACCCCUAAGGCGAGGCCGAAAGGCGUAGUCGAUGGGAAACAGGUUAAUAUUCCUGUACUUGGUGUUACUGCGAAGGGGGGACGGAGAAGGCUAUGUUAGCCGGGCGACGGUUGUCCCGGUUUAAGCAUGUAGGCGGAGGUUCCAGGUAAAUCCGGUACCUUUUUAACGCUGAGGUGUGAUGACGAGGCACUACGGUGCUGAAGUAACAAAUGCCCUGCUUCCAGGAAAAGCCUCUAAGCAUCAGGUAACACGAAAUCGUACCCCAAACCGACACAGGUGGUCAGGUAGAGAAUACCAAGGCGCUUGAGAGAACUCGGGUGAAGGAACUAGGCAAAAUGGUGCCGUAACUUCGGGAGAAGGCACGCUGAUAUGUAGGUGAAGUGAUUUACUCAUGGAGCUGAAAUCAGUCGAAGAUACCAGCUGGCUGCAACUGUUUAUUAAAAACACAGCACUGUGCAAACACGAAAGUGGACGUAUACGGUGUGACGCCUGCCCGGUGCCGGAAGGUUAAUUGAUGGGGUUAUCCGUAAGGAGAAGCUCUUGAUCGAAGCCCCGGUAAACGGCGGCCGUAACUAUAACGGUCCUAAGGUAGCGAAAUUCCUUGUCGGGUAAGUUCCGACCUGCACGAAUGGCGUAAUGAUGGCCAGGCUGUCUCCACCCGAGACUCAGUGAAAUUGAACUCGCUGUGAAGAUGCAGUGUACCCGCGGCAAGACGGAAAGACCCCGUGAACCUUUACUAUAGCUUGACACUGAACACUGGUCCUUGAUGUGUAGGAUAGGUGGGAGGCUUUGAAGUGUGGACGCCAGUCUGCAUGGAGCCAUCCUUGAAAUACCACCCUUUAAUGGCUGGUGUUCUAACGUGGACCCGUAAUCCGGGUUGCGGACAGUGUCUGGUGGGUAGUUUGACUGGGGCGGUCUCCUCCUAAAGAGUAACGGAGGAGCACGAAGGUUAGCUAAUCCUGGUCGGACAUCAGGAGGUUAGUGCAAAGGCAUAAGCUAGCUUGACUGCGAGAGUGACGGCUCGAGCAGGUGCGAAAGCAGGUCUUAGUGAUCCGGUGGUUCUGAAUGGAAGGGCCAUCGCUCAACGGAUAAAAGGUACUCCGGGGAUAACAGGCUGAUACCGCCCAAGAGUUCAUAUCGACGGCGGUGUUUGGCACCUCGAUGUCGGCUCAUCACAUCCUGGGGCUGAAGUAGGUCCCAAGGGUAUGGCUGUUCGCCAUUUAAAGUGGUACGCGAGCUGGGUUUAGAACGUCGUGAGACAGUUCGGUCCCUAUCUGCCGUGGGCGCUGGAGAAUUGAGGGGGGCUGCUCCUAGUACGAGAGGACCGGAGUGGACGCAUCACUGGUGUUCGGGUUGUCAUGCCAAUGGCAUUGCCCGGUAGCUAAAUGCGGAAGAGAUAAGUGCUGAAAGCAUCUAAGCACGAAACUUGCCCCGAGAUGAGUUCUCCCUGAGACUUUAAGUCUCCUGAAGGAACGUUGAAGACGACGACGUUGAUAGGUCGGGUGUGUAAGCGUAGCGAUACGUUGAGCUAACCGAUACUAAUGAACCGUGAGGCUUAACCUUACAACGCCGAAG
rnacentral:rRNA from 1 species